GGCAGGAAAUCCUAUACCAUUUCAGACAAAUGGCAAGUUGUUCCACUGAUCUUUUCAGACAAGCUCUGGGUUAGCAUCCUUUUCCAGCCCACCCACUCAGCAACCCAGUUGUGUAUUUCCAAAGCACAGGUGUCCGCUUCUCCUUGCUUAAUCAAAGGCCAGUUUAACAACGCACAAGGACUUGCCAGCGCAUAAUUUGCAAUCAAAUAUACCAGACAGGAAGUGGUAGCAGAGCCUUUUUUUUUAAUUGUGCAUUGUUAUGCAACAGAACAAAUGGAUUGAAAGCAUAUACUUAAAUCAAAACCCACUUACCACCACCCAAAGUAGUAAA